rnacentral:rRNA from 1 species
GUGAGGAAUCUUCCACAAUGGGCGAAAGCCUGAUGGAGCAACGCCGCGUGAAGGAUGAAGGUCUUCGGAUUGUAAACUUCUUUUAUGAGUGAAGAAUAUGACGGUAACUCAUGAAUAAGCACCGGCUAACUACGUGCCAGCAGCCGCGGUCAUACGUAGGGCGCAAGCAUUAUCCGGAGUGACUGGGCGUAAAGAGUUGCGUAGGCGGUUAUGUAAGCGAAUAGUGAAACCUGGUGGCUCAACCACACAGAAUAUUAUUCGAACUGCAUUACUCGAGAAUGGUAGAGGUAACUGGAAUUUCUUGUGUAGGAGUGAAAUCCGUAGAUAUAAGAAGGAACACCAAUGGCGUAGGCAGGUUACUGGGCCAUUUCUGACGCUAAGGCACGAAAGCGUGGGGAGCGAACCGGAUUAGAUACCCGGGUAGUCC